AGAUAAAAUGCAUGUAGAAAUGAUGCAAGCUCCCUUCAAGGAGCUUACAAUCUAGCAAAAAGAUAUACACACAUCAUUAUAAGGCACAAGUGUAUGGAUAGAAUCAUGAGGCACAAGUUAAAUUCUUGAUUUAGAAAUUGGAGAAAUCAAUUUUAGUUUCAGAUGGAGAUGGGCAUAAAGAUUAGGGAAAGCAAGAGUAAAAAAAGAAAUGAAAAGAUAAAGACUGAAUAGAAAUGAGAAGGGAGGAAGAGGAAGGUAGAAGAAGGAAAAGAAGAAAGAGAAGGAGAGGAGAGAGAAAAGAAAGAAAGGGAGGAGGAGGACUAGAGGGAAAGAAAAGGAAUGGAAAGAGGAAGGAAGGAAGGAAGGAAGGAAGGAAGGAAGGAAGGAAGGAAGGAAGGAAGGAAGGAAGGAAGGAAGGAAGGAAGGAAGGAAGGAAGGAAGGAAGGAGGAAGGAAGAAGAAAGAAAGAAAGAAAGAAAGAAAGAAAGAACUGCUCCUCUGUCUUAGAACUGAUACUAAAACAUAAGGUAAAGAUUUUUUUUAAAGGAAGGAAGGAAGGAAGGAAGGAAGGAAGGAAGGAAGGAAGGAAGGAAGGAAGGAAGGAAGGAAGGAAGGAAGGAAGGAAGGAAGGAAGGAAGGAAGGAAGGAAGGAAGGAAGGAAGGAGGGAGUGAUACUUUUACCUCAAAAAUCUUCAAAGUCACCUUGAAUAUGAAUGAGAUAAUUGGUCUUUUGUGAAU
rnacentral:lncRNA from 1 species